rnacentral:rRNA from 1 species
GACGAACGCUGGCGGCGUGCCUAAUACAUGCAAGUAGAACGCUGAAGGAGGAGCUUGCUUCUCUGGAUGAGUUGCGAACGGGUGAGUAACGCGUAGGUACCCUGCCUGGUAGCGGGGGAUAACUAUUGGAAACGAUAGCUAAUACCGCAUAAGAGUAGAUGUUGCAUGACAUUUGCUUAAAAGGUGCAAUUGCAUCACUACCAGAUGGACCUGCGUUGUAUUAGCUAGUUGGUGGGGUAACGGCUAACCAAGGCGCCGGUACAUAGCCGACCUGAGAGGGGGAUCGGCCACACUGGUACUGAGACACGGCCCAGACUCCUACGGGAGGCAGCAGUAGGGAAUCUUCGGCGAUGGACGGAAGUCUGACCGAGCAACGCCGCGUGAGUGAAGCAGGUUUUCGGAUCGUAAAGCUCUGUUGUAAGAGAAGAGCGAGUGUGAGAGUGGAAAGUUCACACUGUGACGGUAUCUUACCAGAAAGGGACGGCUAACUACGUG